AUCACUUUUUGGCGUUUUGGCUAAGAUCAAAUGUAAUAUUUGUUCUUAUCUGUUUAAUAUCUGAUAUGUCUUCUGAGGACAAUAUAUUAAGUGGAUUUUUUGGAGCAGGGAGAUGGAAUAGGAGAUUACUCUGUCCACAUAUUGAUCUGGUAUUGCAGUACCUUCUGGAACAGCACACCCCCU